CUUGUUUAAACCAAAAACAAUCAUUGGUCUCUUCAGUCCUCCAGGAUAUUACCUUAGUUUGAAAAACUGCAAUAAUGGAAAGCUUAUGGCAACACUGGAAGAUGAGACAGGACAGAGAUUGAAUGAAGGAGUUAGAUACUUUAAGGAUGUAUUGCUUGUAGAAGCAAGAAUCAUUAUCGCUUCUGUUGUCAAGAACAUAACAUAUAGAGAAGCUGAAGAACUUCUCUAUCCAUUGAAAUAACAAAUUUAUGUUCCGGUUGAUUGAGUUUGCAAAUUUGAUAUAUAUUGGAAUAUUUCGAUUGUGAUAGCAUUGCAAAAGAUGUUCUACAUCAAUUGCUAUAUGACAUGUUGAACAAUAUUUGUUUGCAGAUUCUUUACAGUUAUUAUAUAUCACCAUCUGAUGAAAUAUUGUUAUAAUGUAAAAUGGACUCUGUCAGGGCUCAUGAUCAAUUGUACUUGGUUACUCUAGAUGAACUCAUAAACUCUAAUAAUUGUGAUUUCAUUCAAAUCAAAUCCACACCAGACCAAGCUGUUUUAUCAUUAAUUCCUACUAGAAACAUUAGUUUAAAUGUAGGAAGAAUUUGAUAAAAUUUGAUGUAAUUUGACUUUGAAAAUAUCUAUUAAAGUUUUGUUUUUCUGACAAGUGAAAUGAAUUUCACAUGCAGAAUUCAUACCAUUGGAUUUGGGUGUAAUUUAAAAGGAACACUUGUGCAGCCAUGCAUUAUUUCUUAAAUAGUACCUGUAAUACAUUUGUAUGGUCUUAAUAUUGUGUGGCCAUUUUUUCCCCUAGGAUUAAUUGAUCUACGUUAUUUUUAUCUUUAAGUUCCUCAGUGACUAAACCCAAUUUGUAUAAAAAUUGGGAGCAGAGCUCUA